CGUUCCGAGGACCCCCGCUCCCCACACUCCCACACCUGAGCUGUAUAUUUCAGCUGAAAGGCUGUUUCAUGUUCCAGAACCCUCUCUGCUUGCAAGCAAGCUGUCACAACUUUAUGGCCUCGACUUGAAAGAGCAGGACAUGGUUUUCCCGGAGAAGAAGGCUAAUAGGAGCUAGGAAGGACCUUUCAAACAAUUCCAGGAACUGGAGACACGUGCCCAGCCAAGGAGCAGAUUGGAAGCAGACAUUGAGGAAAACAGGUGCUCAGGUCUUUGGAAAACCUGCUCCCUUCCUGUCCCCUUCCAGGCCAGGUUUCGGAUGCCAACAAGAUGCUGACCAGACUUCCCUGGACAGAUGACUCCAUCAAUAUGUCCUGGAGCUCCGCUUCCCCAGAGCCCCACCCUUCUAGGGAAAGAGAGAGGCAGACUGGGAGUAUGGAUCAACCAGUCAACGCCCAUGUUCAGCGGGGAAGCAAUUACAGAAGCCAGACCUUCCACCCCCUGCAACCUACAAGGACCCUGGAUCCAUACUCCCGGAGAGAUAGAGAAUGGGAAAGCUAUCAGGGGAGGGGAGGGGAUGGGAUAUGGAGAUCGGGUUAUGGGAAUUGUGGAAAUGUACCCCUCUUAU